rnacentral:rRNA from 1 species
CGGACGUAGGUACCAGCAGGCGGGGUAGUACGGAGGGGGCGAUCGUGGCUCGGAAUCACUGGGCGUAAAGCGAACGUAGGCGGUCUUUUAAGUCAGGGGUGAAAUCCUGGAGCUCAACUCCAGAACUGCCGUUGAUACUGAGAGACUUGAGGCCGGGAGAGGGGAGUGGAACUGCGAGUGUAGAGGUGAAAUUCGUAGAUAUUCGCAAGAACACCAGUGGCGAAGGCGGCUCACUGGCCCGGUACUGACGCUGAGGUGCGAAAGCGUGGGGAGCAAACAGGAUUAGAUACCCCUGUAGUC